rnacentral:rRNA from 1 species
GAGUAAUAUAUAGUUAAUCUGCCCCAAAGAAGAGGAUAAUUGUUGGAAACGACUUGUAAGACUCUAUAUGCCUUUAUAACAUAAGUUAGCAAGGGAAACAUUUAUGGCUUUGGGAUGAGACUGUACGGUAUCAGUUAGUUGGUGGGGUAAUGGCCUACCAAGACAAUGACACCUAACUGGUUUGAGAGGAUGAUCAGUCACACUGGAACUGACACACGGUCCAGACUCCUACGGGAGGCAGCANUGGGGAAUAUUGCACAANGGGCGAAAGCCUGAUGCAGCACCGCCGCGNGGNGGAUGACACAUUUCGGUGCGUAAACUCCUUUUNNAUAAGAAGAUAAUGACGGUAUCAUAU